rnacentral:rRNA from 1 species
UACAGAGGUCUCAAGCGUUGUUCGGAUUCAUUGGGCGUAAAGGGUGCGUAGGCGGCGCGGUAAGUCGGGUGUGAAAUCUUGGAGCUUAACUCCGAAACUGCAUUCGAUACUGCCGUGCUUGAGGACUGGAGAGGAGACUGGAAUUUACGGUGUAGCGGUGAAAUGCGUAGAUAUCGUAAGGAAGACCAGUGGCGAAGGCGGGUCUCUGGACAGUUCCUGACGCUGAGGCGCGAAAGCUAGGGGAGCAAACGGG